AUUGAACGCUGGCGGCAUGCUUUACACAUGCAAGUCGAACGGUAACAGGCCGCAAGGUGCUGACGAGUGGCGAACGGGGGAGUAAUGCAUCGGAACGUGCCCAGUCGUGGGGGAUAACGCAGCGAAAGCUGCGCUAAUACCGCAUACGAUCUAUGGAUGAAAGCGGGGGACCGAAAGGCCUCGCGCGAUUGGAGCGGCCGAUGUCAGAUUAGGUAGUUGGUGGGGUAAAGGCUCACCAAGCCAACGAACUGUAGCUGGUCUGAGAGGACGACCAGCCACACUGGGACUGAGACACGGCCCAGACUCCUACGGGAGGCAGCAGUGGGGAAUUUUGGACAAUGGGCGCAAGCCUGAUCCAGCAAUGCCGCGUGCAGGAAGAAGGCCUUCGGGUUGUAAACUGCUUUUGUACGGAACGAAACGGUCCGGGUUAAUACCCUGGGCUAAUGACGGUACCGUAAGAAUAAGCACCGGCUAACUCCUUGCCAGCCGCCGCCGUAAAAC
rnacentral:rRNA from 1 species